rnacentral:lncRNA from 1 species
CCGCCCUUCCCAGACCCCCGAGCCGCCCUUUUCCUUCACCUUUGCACCCCCAGAUCUCCCAAAUUUCCGUGUCACCCCAGUUCUCCACACCCGGCGUUUUCUUAAGCGAGGUCCCAGGGGGUCCCAGGUGGUUCCCAGAGGGCUCCAAGGCGGCCGCAGCCGGAAUCCAGAGGGAUCCAGAGGGAUCCCGAGGGAUCCCGAGGGAUUCUCUGGAAUUCCUCCCUCCCCUGCCUCGGGCUCGUCCUCUUCGUCCUCUUCCGCGUCCUAACCUGAGAACCCGGGAUCUCCGCUGAGGACGAUGACGUCACUGACACAUCGGGCUGCCAUUGGCGGACAGGAAAUAGCGGCGCCAAUGGCGGGGCAGGAGGCGGCUCUGUGGGCGGGGCCAGAACUGUGGGCGGGCUCAGAUCUGUGGGCGGGGCCAGCGCCGUGGCCGGGUCCGCAGCGGAGCAGCGCGAUGGGUCCAGCGCUGGCUCUGGGGCUCCUCUUGGAGCUGCAGGGGAUCCUGGGGGACCCGGGGGGCCCGACGAGUGUUCUCCACCCCCUGCUCGUCCUAUAUGGGGGUCCCAGGGGGUCCGGGACGGUCCCUGGGGGGUCGUGGAGUGCUGGGGGGGGUGAAACAGGGAAACCUUAUGAAUGUUGUUGUUUAGCAGAAGAUUCUGAAAAUAUGAAGGUUAGAAUCGAAGUAGAAAUGAAAGCCUGCUUUGAGUUAUGAAGCUGAGUACUAGUUACUAUAUAACCAAAGAACAAUAGCCUAGUCAGCUAAAGGAGAAUCCCUGCUGAUAAAACAAUGUCCUUCUGCUGAUAGAAAGUCCAAAGGUCAAGAAGCAAGGGAAGAACUUGUAAAGCUUGUAGAGUUUGAAGUGCAACACUGUAUGUUAAUAUGAGGCUGCUCAGAGGCUGUAUGUAAAUUCUUUAGUGGGUGUAUCUUGUAGUGAUUGGUUACUGAGAAUUAGAAUAUUCACUAUAGAAAAAGAUAUAUUGUAUUGUAACAAGAAGGUCUUGCUCUUAACUAUUACUCCUCUCUCAGCUCUUCUCUCUCCUCUCUUAACUCUUGACUCUUAGCUCUCACCUCUGAGCUCUUAGCCCUUACCCCCCUCUUAGUCCUUACCCCUUUCCCCACCUCUUAACUCCUACCCCUCUCUUACUUUUUACCCCUCUCCCUGCUCCUACCCCUCUCUAGUUUUCCCUGAUCUCUAACCUCUUUUCUCCCUCUCACUCCGUGCUCUCUUCCCUCCCCCGGGACCACGUGGACGCCGAGGCUGGUGGUGGACACAGGUCUCUCCCUCUCUUUACCCUUAUAAUAAAUUGCUUAUACCUGAACA